UGCUUAUAAAAGCGAUCCACUCCAGUCCUUUUCCAGGAGCCUGUCUGAUCCAGCUCAUAGGGUAGUUGCUGAAUGUGAAUCCAGAUGUUGUACAUGUCAAUCUGUGGGAUUCUCCAGGUCUUUUAAUCGCUGGUUCAGAUUCUGUCAGAGU